rnacentral:rRNA from 1 species
AACUCGACUACAUGAAGCUGGAAUCGCUAGUAAUCGCAAAUCAGAAUGUUGCGGUGAAUACGUUCCCGGGUCUUGUACACACCGCCCGUCACACCAUGGGAGUCGGAAAUGCCCGAAGUCUGUGACCCAACGAAAGAGGGAGCAGCCGAAGGCAGGUCUGAUAACUGGGGUGAAGUCGUAACAAGGUAAC